rnacentral:rRNA from 1 species
UGGGGAAUAUUGCACAAUGGGCGCAAGCCUGAUGCAGCCAUGCCGCGUGUAUGAAGAAGGCCUUCGGGUUGUAAAGUACUUUCAGCGGGGAGGAAGGCAAUAAGGUUAAUAACCUUGUCGAUUGACGUUACCCGCAGAAGAAGCACCGGCUAACUCCGUGCCAGCAGCCGCGGUAAUACGGAGGGUGCAAGCGUUAAUCGGAAUUACUGGGCGUAAAGCGCACGCAGGCGGUCUGUCAAGUCGGAUGUGAAAUCCCCGGGCUCAACCUGGGAACUGCAUUCGAAACUGGCAGGCUAGAGUCUUGUAGAGGGGGGUAGAAUUCCAGGUGUAGCGGUGAAAUGCGUAGAGAUCUGGAGGAAUACCGGUGGCGAAGGCGGCCCCCUGGACAAAGACUGACGCUCAGGUGCGAAAGCGUGGGGAGCAAACA